GUGCUCACUUCGGCAGCACAUACAUGAAAAGUGGAACAACACAGAGAAGAUUAGCAUGGCCCCUGCACAGGAAUGACAUGCAAAUUCAUGAAGCAUCCCACAUUUAA
ensembl:snRNA U6 U6 spliceosomal RNA